CGCAUCUGUGCAUGCAGCAUAUCAAUAAGCGGAGGAAAAGAAACUAACAAGGAUUCCCCUAGUAACGGCGAGUGAAGGCGGGAAGAGCUCAAAUUUGAAAUCUUAAAGGGUUUCCCUUUACGAAUUGUAGUUUAAAGAAGUGUUUUCUGUUGAGGUUUUGGUAAAAGUUCUUUGGAAUAGGACAUCAUAGAGGGUGAGAAUCCCGUAUUUGACCUUUACUUUCAACUUUGUGAUACACUUUCAAAGAGUCGGAUUGUUUGGGAAUGCAGUCCAAAAUGGGUGGUAAAUUUCAUCUAAAGCUAAAUAUUGGCGAGAGACCGAUAGCGAACAAGUACCGUGAGGGAAAGAUGAAAAGAACUUUGAAAAGAGAGUUAAACAGUACGUGAAAUUGUCAAAAGGGAAGCGUUUGACACCAGUGUUGUUUUUCUGAAAAUCAAUUAAAGAACUGUUUAUGCUAAGUUGUUUAGACUUUAUCAGCUAACUGUUUAGUUUUGAGCUUUUCUUUAAUGCACUUUUCAGUUAACAAGUCAACAUCAAUUUCUUUUGCUGUAAAAAAGCUUGAGGAAGGUGGCUUGAGAUUCGUCUUAAGUGUUUAUAGCCUCUUGCCUAUGCAGUCGGAGAGAUUGAGGUCUGCAGCGUAGAUCCUUCGGGGCUAAAUGCAUUUGUGCUAAGUUAUAGCAUUUCAUAGACAACUUGUUGACUAUGAUUUGUCUUGUAGCUUACUCGCUUAUGUUAUUUUACCUACGCUUAGGAUGUUGACAGCAGUAUAGACUGU
rnacentral:rRNA from 1 species